rnacentral:rRNA from 1 species
GACGAACGCUGGCGGCGUGCCUAAUACAUGCAAGUUGAGCGCUGAAGGUUGGUACUUGUACCAACUGGAUGAGCAGCGAACGGGUGAGUAACGCGUGGGGAAUCUGCCUUUGAGCGGGGGACAACAUUUGGAAACGAAUGCUAAUACCGCAUAAAAACUUUAAACACAAGUUUUAAGUUUGAAAGAUGCAAUUGCAUCACUCAAAGAUGAUCCCGCGUUGUAUUAGCUAGUUGGUGAGGUAAAGGCUCACCAAGGCGAUGAUACAUAGCCGACCUGAGAGGGUGAUCGGCCACAUUGGGACUGAGACACGGCCCAAACUCCUACGGGAGGCAGCAGUAGGGGAUCUUCGGCAAUGGGCGAAAGUCUGACCGAGCAACGCCGCGUGAGUGAAGAAGGUUUUCGGAUCGUAAAACUCUGUUGGUAGAGAAGAACGUUGGUGAGAGUGGAAAGCUCAUCAAGUGACGGUAACUACCCAGAAAGGGACGGCUAACUACGUG